GCAAGUCGAGCGAGAAAGCACCUUCGGGUGUGAGUAAAGCGGCGAACGGGUGAGUAACACGUAAUCAAGCUGCCCUCGAGAUUGGGAUAACAGUGGGAAACUACUGCUAAUACCGGAUGGUGCUAUCGAAUCGCAUGUUUUGAUAGCUAAAGGUUGGGAUCCUGCGGGACCUUCCACUCGAGGAGGUGAUUGCGGCCUAUCAGCUUGUUGGUGAGGUAAUGGCUCACCAAGGCUACGACGGGUAGCGGGCCUGAGAGGGUGGCC
rnacentral:rRNA from 1 species